rnacentral:rRNA from 1 species
AGAUUAAGUUAUUAAGGGCGCACGGUGGAUGCCUUGGCACUAGAAGCCGAUGAAGGACGUUACUAACGACGAUAUGCUUUGGGGAGCUGUAAGUAAGCUUUGAUCCAGAGAUUUCCGAAUGGGGAAACCCAGCAUGAGUUAUGUCAUGUUAUCGAUAUGUGAAUACAUAGCAUAUCAGAAGGCACACCCGGAGAACUGAAACAUCUUAGUACCCGGAGGAAGAGAAAGAAAAUUCGAUUCCCUUAGUAGCGGCGAGCGAAACGGGAAGAGCCCAAACCAAAAAGCUUGCUUGUUGGGGUUGUAGGACACUCUAUACGGAGUUACAAAGGACGACAUUAGACGAAUCAUCUGGAAAGAUGAAUCAAAGAAGGUAAUAAUCCUGUAGUCGAAAAUGUUGUCUCUCUUGAGUGGAUCCUGAGUACGACGGAGCACGUGAAAUUCCGUCGGAAUCUGGGAGGACCAUCUCCUAAGGCUAAAUACUCUCUAGUGACCGAUAGUG